GAUGAACGCUGGCGGCGUGCCUAAUACAUGCAAGUCGAACGAAACUUCUUUAUCACUGUGUGCUUGCACUCACCGAUAAAGAGUUGAGUGGCGAACGGGUGAGUAACACGUUGGCAACCUGCCCAAAAGAGGGGGAUAACACUUGGAAACAGGUGCUAAUACCGCAUAACCAUCGUUACCGCAUGGUACCUAUGUAAAAGGUGGCUAUCCUACCGCUUUUGGAUGGGCCGGCGGCGCAUUAGCUAGUUGGUGGGGUAAAGGCUUACCAAGGCAAUGAUGCGUAGCGGAUGUGAGAGGAUGAUCGGCCAAAUUGGAACUGAGACAAGGCCCAAACUCCUACGGGAGGCAGCAGUGGGGAAUAUUGAACAAUGGGCGAAAGCCUGAUGAAGCAAGACCGCGUGGGGGAAGAAGGCCUUCGGGUUGUAAACCCCUUUUGUUGGGAAAGAAAGGCAGGAGGUUAAUAUCUCGCUGUUCUGACGGUACCAAAAGAAUAAGCACCGGCUAACUUCGUG
rnacentral:rRNA from 1 species